rnacentral:rRNA from 1 species
GAUGAACGCUGGCGGCGUGCCUAAUACAUGCAAGUCGAGCGAACAGACGAGGAGCUUGCUCCUCUGACGUUAGCGGCGGACGGGUGAGUAACACGUGGAUAACCUACCUAUAAGACUGGGAUAACUUCGGGAAACCGGAGCUAAUACCGGAUAAUAUAUUGAACCGCAUGGUUCAAUAGUGAAAGACGGUUUUGCUGUCACUUAUAGAUGGAUCCGCGCCGCAUUAGCUAGUUGGUAAGGUAACGGCUUACCAAGGCAACGAUGCGUAGCCGACCUGAGAGGGUGAUCGGCCACACUGGAACUGAGACACGGUCCAGACUCCUACGGGAGGCAGCAGUAGGGAAUCUUCCGCAAUGGGCGAAAGCCUGACGGAGCAACGCCGCGUGAGGGAUGAAGGUCUUCGGAUCGGAAAACUCUGUUAUUAGGGAAGAACAAAUGUGUAAGUAACUAUGCACGUCUUGACGGUACCUAAUCAGAAAGCCACGGCUAACUACGUG